rnacentral:lncRNA from 1 species
CCCAAAUGCCCAACAUCAGAAAAAUGGGUGAAAAAUAGUGUAAUAUCCAUAAGAUAAAAUACUAAGCAAUAAAAAGGAACUAAUGCUUGAUACAUAGCCAGCCACAACAUAGAUGAAUCUCAGACUGGAGUGAAAGGAGUCAGAGGGGACAAAUUACACAUUAUAUGAUUGCAUUUAUGUAAAGUUCUAGAAAAUGCAAGUAAAUCUAUAGUGACUGAUGAGGGCUUGCCUGGAGAAGGGUAGAAGGAUAUUAAUGGGGAGGGGAAAGAGAAUGAAUACAGAGGAAAUUUUUAGUGGGGAAGCCUUUGUGGUUGCUUGAUGUGUCCAUUGUCUUGAUUUUGGUGAUGGUUUUACAAAUACAAACAUCUGUUGAAACAUGAAAUUGCAUACUUUAUUCUAUGACAGUUAUUCCUCCAUACAACAGAAAAAAAAAUGCCCUUCCCUCCAAGAAGGGACAACUUGAAUGCCGUGAACAUUUUAUUUAAAUCAGUAAUGCACAUUUGGCAGGUUUAGUUCUUUUGUUUGUUUUAGUGUUUGAUGCAUCCAGUUGUAGGACCCUAAUGCCUUUCUUGCAAAAUCUCCAUUUAUGACCCUUUCUUUAAGAAUAUUUACUUUUUGAUUCUCUUUAAAAAUCAGAAUUUAUAGACACAUGGGAGUUAAAUAUAGGACCUCUGUAGACUUCUAGGAUUUUCAGUCCCAAAUCUUUUUGUUUUCUCUCCCAUAUUUAAUUGCUUUUGUAAUUUGCCUUAUCAUUCAAAGCAUCCUACCGAGUCAUUGAAACAGAAUUUUCUUUUUAUAAUUGCAUUCCAUUGGUUUGCAGAUUAUUUUUAUUAAAUUUCAUCACUGCAAUAACAAAUAUAAUUGGCAAAAACAGGCUUGGGAACAAACUUGACUAGCUUUUUGGUAAGCACAUCUUUGCAGAAGGGAAAACUUUACAGAUUACCUACUACACCAGCCUUAACUGGGUAGAGGUCAUUUAUCACAGUGUAGUUUUUCAAAAUAGAGUCUGUUAAUUUGCUGAGUUGGUGAAGUAAAGGUCAGUUAAGAAAUUCUCCUGCUCAAGCUCUAUGAUC